CCAGAGAUACUGCCUAUCCCACUGAGUUACUGCACCUUUUUGUGCUGAUCCCUCUCCCUCCCUUGGCAUCAAUCUGAACAAGAGAGUCGACCCGAAACGUCACCUAUUCCUUCUCUCCAGAGAUGCAGCCUGUCCUGCUGAGUUACUCCAGCUUUUAUUCUAAAUUGU